GUCAGUGUGAUGUAGUGGUUUGAGCAAUGGACAAUGACUCUGGAGACCAGGGUUCAAAUCCCUGCUCAGUCA